rnacentral:rRNA from 1 species
UAAAGCUAAAGAGUCCCUAAGCCGUCGUACGCACUCCGAGAACUCGAAACCCAAAAACGAAAGUAGCUUUAAAACACAUUCACCUGACCCCACGAAAGCUAAGAAACAAACUGGGAUUAGAUACCCCACUAUGCUUAGCCAUAAACCAAGAUGUAAAUUUACACACACAUCCGCCUGGGUACUACGAGCACAGCUUAAAACCCAAAGGACUUGGCGGUGUCUCAGACCCACCUAGAGGAGCCUGUUCUAGAACCGAUAAACCCCGUUAAACCUCACCACUUCUUGUCUUUCCCGCCUAUAUACCGCCGUCGUCAGCUUACCCCGUGAAGGCCUAAAAGUAAGCAAAAUUGGUACACCCAAAAACGCCAGGUCAAGGUGUAGCGAAUGAAGUGGGAAGAAAUGGGCUACAUUUUCUACACAACAGAAUAUUACGGACGACACCUUGAAAUACAUGUCUGAAGGUGGAUUUAGUAGUAAAAAGGAAAUAGUGUGUCCUUUUGAAUUAGGCUCUGAGACGCGCACACACCGCCCGUCACUC